GUAUAUGGCCAGAGUGAUUUUUUAAACAUUUAUUUCAGGUCAGACGAGAAGCUUAGAGAAUUAUUUGCGAAGUCAUCACUCACUGUGAUCAAGGAUGAAGUUCAGAAGAACUUUCCUGGAGAACUCUACAGAGUGAAAAUGUAUGCAAUGAGGCCAAAAUCAUGACACACUGCCGAGCUGAAGUUACAAUGUAAUAUAAAGUUCACCACACCUAGCUGGCCAUUGUUAAGUGAAACUAGCGUUUUAAAUUUUGAUUGCCAGCUUUGAGAUAAGCGACAGAUGCAUUUGUGCAAGAGUCUUGUAGAGUUAAAGAGUGUUUUCAAUAAUUUUAUCUUCCAAUGACAUAGUGAACGGUUUAAAGCCAGGUUAGUUUUUCUGGCAUAUUUUGCCCGAAAAAUCUCCUCAAGAAAUCGUUACUGGCCCCUUUUUAUUCCAGAGACGCAUAAUCCGAAAGCGGGACGGUUUGUCACCUACACUAUGCUCUAAGUUCGUCGUUCAACACGCACUUAAGCUGACAGUUUGUUUCGGUGGACCAUCCGUCCUGCAUCUUUUUUUUAUACAAACAGAAAAGUCGUUAGUUCGUCGUUGAAGAUACACUGAAGCAGAUGGUGCAUAAUCCGCCUUUUGUACUUUUUAUACUGCGACGCGUAAUAAAUCGCAUUUAAGAAAAAAAUAAUUUUCCCGAUUUCGCCCUAACGGGUUAUGCAUCUCUAGUAUAUAAAACGCCCAUUGCUCGACCAGCAUGUGCUACUUGUUCGUCACAAUUUUGGUGUCGUAAUAUUGUAAACAUCAGCUUGUGCUGGAUUUGAUAAAUUCUAGCCUACGUGUAGCCGUACCCACCCUCCGGGAUCUGGCGCCGGAUUUGGACGAAAUAGUGUCUUCCUACGCAUAAAUGUAGCGAGCGAAUGUUGCCAAAUUGUUUAAACGUAAACAUGCAUUCAUCUGGAGAUUUGGACAAAUUCUUACUUGAAAUAGUAAUUCGCCAUUCUGGUCGCCACAAGCACUUGACGGAAGCAGUUAAAAAAAGUCUUUUAGCAGUUAAGAGUCUUUUUAAUUGCUUUCGUCGGGUGCUUCUUUCAGACUCGUUUUCACAGUUUCGUUACCCGGCUUGGCAAUUUUUUUUUCGAAUCCUAAAUUUUAGACAAUAAGUGCUUUCGUGGUGAUGCCGUUAGUAAUCAUUUUUGUAGAUUUUAUGAAUAAAUUUAUUAAACUUGCGAUUCCAUUCCAAA
rnacentral:lncRNA from 1 species